rfam:Myotis brandtii contig203830, whole genome shotgun sequence.
GGUGGUUCUCAGGUGACGCACCCGGAACCAGAGAGGAGGGAGCCUGAUUCUGGGGUGCGUCACCCGAGAACCACC